UACGUAGGGUCCGAGCGUUGUCCGGAUUUAUUGGGCGUAAAGAGCGUGUAGGCGGCCUGAAAGGUCAGCUGUGAAAACUCGAGGCUCAACCUCGAGACGUCGGUUGAAACCAUCUGGCUAGAGUCCGGAAGAGGAGAGUGGAAUUCCCGGUGUAGCGGUGAAAUGCGCAGAUAUCGGGAAGAACACCCGUGGCGAAGGCGGCUCUCUGGGACGGUACUGACGCUGAGACGCGAAAGCGUGGGGAGCGAACAGG
rnacentral:rRNA from 1 species